rnacentral:rRNA from 1 species
AUUGCCCUAGUAACGGCGAGUGAAGCGGCAAUAGCUCAGAUUUGAAAUCUGGCGUCUUCGGCGUCCGAGUUGUAAUCUGUAGAGGAUGCCUUUGGGUAGCCACCGGUCUAAGUCCCCUGGAACGGGGCGUCACAGAGGGUGAGAAUCCCGUAUGUGACCGGAAGGGCACCCUCCACAAGGCUCCUUCGACGAGUCGAGUUGUUUGGGAAUGCAGCUCUAAAUGGGAGGUAAAUUCCUUCUAAAGCUAAAUACCGGCCAGAGACCGAUAGCGCACAAGUAGAGUGAUCGAAAGAUGAAAAGCACUUUGGAAAGAGAGUUAAAAAGCACGUGAAAUUGUUGAAAGGGAAGCGCUUGCAACCAGACUUGUUGGCGGUGUUCCGCCGGUCUUCUGACCGGUCCACUCACCGUCUGCAGGCCAGCAUCAUCUGGGGCCGCCGGAUAAAAGCGAGGGGAACGUGGCUCCCUCGGGAGUGUUAUAGCCCCUCGUGCAAUACGGCGAGCCUCGGGUGAGGUCCGCGCUUCGGCUAGGAUGCUGGCGUAAUGGUCGUAAGCGGCCCGUCUUGAAACACGGACCAAGGAGUCUAACAUCUAUGCGAGUGUUCGGGUGUCAAACCCCUACGCGUAAUGAAAGUGAACGGAGGUGGGAGCCUUAGGGUGCACCAUCGACCGAUCCUGAUGUCUUCGGAUGGAUUUGAGUAAGAGCAUAGCUGUUGGGACCCGAAAGAUGGUGAACUAUGCCUGGAUAGGGUGAAGCCAGAGGAAACUCUGGUGGAGGCUCGCAGCGGUUCUGACGUGCAAAUCGAUCGUCAAAUUUGGGUAUAGGGGCGAAAGACUAAUCGAACCAUCUAGUAGCUGGUUCCUGCCNAAGUUUCCCUCAGGAUAGCAGUAACGUUUUCAGUUUUAUGAGGUAAAGCGAAUGAUUA